rnacentral:rRNA from 1 species
UACGAAGGGGGCUAGCGUUGUUCGGAAUCACUGGGCGUAAAGCGCACGUAGGCGGAUCUUUAAGUCAGGGGUGAAAUCCCGAGGCUCAACCUCGGAACUGCCUUUGAUACUGGGAGACUUGGAGUCCGGGAGAGGUGAGUGGAACUGCGAGUGUAGAGGUGAAAUUCGUAGAUAUUCGCAAGAACACCAGUGGCGAAGGCGGCUCACUGGCCCGGUACUGACGCUGAGGUGCGAAAGCGUGGGGAGCAAACAGG